GACGAACGCUGGCGGCGUGCUUAACACAUGCAAGUCGAACGGAAAGGCCCUGCUUGCCGGUUACUCGAGUGGCGAACGGGUGAGUAACACGUGGGAGAUCUGCCCUUCACUUCGGGAUAAGCCUGGGAAACGGGGUCUAUUACCGGAUAGUAGCGAUUUUGAGUGUGAUGGUUGGAAAGUCUUUUCGGUGUUGGAUGAGCUCGCGGCCUAUCAGCUUGUUGGUGGGGUAAUGGCCUACCAAGGCGGCGACGUGUAGCCGGCCUGAGAGGGUGGACGGCCACCUUGGGACUGAGGGACGGCCCAGACGGCGACGGGAGGACGCAGGGGGGAAGAUUGAACCAGGGGCGCCAGGCUGAUGCAGCGGGGCCGCGUGGUGGAUGACAGCCUUCGUGUGGAAAAAUCCUUUCGCGAGAGACGAAGCUUUUUGUGACGGUACCUAGAGAAGAAGCACCGGCUAACUACGUG
rnacentral:rRNA from 1 species